rnacentral:pre_miRNA from 1 species
AGUGCAAUUGUUGGAUUGUUAGUAUGUUUAUUUUUUUUAAAAAAAAUCCUAAACUGUUUUCCAGAGUGGCUGUAUCAUUUUAUGUUUCCACCAACAAU